UCCAAUAUUAUAACAAAAGAAGUAUCAAUUUAGAGGAGGAUAAUCCGCAACCUCUAAAGUGCUAGUACACUUCCAAGCGGAGGGGUAACCCAUACUCUAACAAGGAAGAAAGUAACUCUGAUAUCUGAGGUGAGUGUAGUCUCGACAAACUGUCACAGACACAGAAAUACAGACUCGAGAUCUAACAAGAAGUUCAAGAAGAACUGAGAAGAACUAGAUUAAUCAGAUGAAUAUAAGAACCACACCAAAGAGGUGAGUUAGAG
rnacentral:lncRNA from 1 species